GUGAGGAAUUUUCCGCAAUGGGCGAAAGCCUGACGGAGCAAUGCCGCGUGAAGGAUGAAGGCCUAUGGGUUGUAAACUUCUUUUCUCAGAAAAGAAUUAUGACGGUAUCUGAGGAAUAAGCAUCGGCUAACUCUGUGCCAGCAGCAGCGGUAAGACAGAGGAUGCAAGCGUUAUCCGGAAUGAUUGGGCGUAAAGCGUCUGUAGGUUGUUUAAAAAGUAUGCUGUCAAAGAUUAGGGCUUAACCCUAGAUAGGCAGAAUAAACUUUUAAGAUAGAGUUUGGUAGAGGCAGAGGGAAUUCCCGGUGGAGCGGUGAAAUGCGUAGAUAUCGGAAGGAACACCAAAGGCGAAGGCACUCUGCUGGGCCAAUACUAACACUGAGAGACGAAAGCGAGGGGAGCAAAUGGGAUUAGAAACCCGAGUAGUCC
rnacentral:rRNA from 1 species